rnacentral:lncRNA from 1 species
CACCUGUGUUUACAGGUACACAGGGACCUCAAUAGACUAGAAUAAGCUAGUCUAAAACAGAGAAUGGUUUAAACACGGGUGUACUUUAUAUUCAGAAGUUAUUAUCUAAAGGGGAAGAGUUUUAAUUAGGUUAAAGGGAUCAAAACAUCUCACUAUCUUUAAUCUCAAGAAUAAAACGUAUAAAUACUUAAAUAGGGGGAGG